AGCAGUCGCCGCGGGAAUACUGAGGGUGCAAGCGUUAAUCGGAAUUACUGGGCGUAAAGCGUGCGUAGGCGGCUUCUUAAGUCGGAUGUGAAAUCCCUGAGCUUAACUUAGGAAUUGCAUUCGAUACUGGGAAGCUAGAGUAUGGGAGAGGAUGGUAGAAUUCCAGGUGUAGCGGUGAAAUGCGUAGAGAUCUGGAGGAAUACCGAUGGCGAAGGCAGCCAUCUGGCCUAAUACUGACGCUGAGGUACGAAAGCAUGGGGAGCAAACAGGAUUAGAGACCCCUGUAGUCCCUGUCUCUUAUAC
rnacentral:rRNA from 1 species